UACGGGGGGGGCAAGCGUUGUUCGGAAUUACUGGGCGUAAAGGGCUCGUAGGCGGCCAACUAAGUCAGACGUGAAAUCCCUCGGCUUAACCGGGGAACUGCGUCUGAUACUGGAUGGCUUGAGGUUGGGAGAGGGAUGCGGAAUUCCAGGUGUAGCGGUGAAAUGCGUAGAUAUCUGGAGGAACACCGGUGGCGAAGGCGGCAUCCUGGACCACAACUGACGCUGAGGCGCGAAAGCUAGGGGAGCAAACAGG
rnacentral:rRNA from 1 species